GGGUUGUGAGGUUAAGCGACUAAGCGUACACGGUGGAUGCCCUGGCAGUCAGAGGCGAUGAAGGACGUGCUAAUCUGCGAAAAGCGUCGGUAAGGUGAUAUGAACCGUUAUAACCGGCGAUGUCCGAAUGGGGAAACCCAGUGCAAUUAGUUGCACUAUCGUUAACUGAAUACAUAGGUUAACGAGGCGAACCGGGGGAACUGAAACAUCUAAGUACCCCGAGGAAAAGAAAUCAACCGAGAUUCCCCAGUAGCGGCGAGCGAACGGGGAGCAGCCCAGAGUCUGAAUCAGCUUGUGUGUUAGUGGAACGGUCUGGAAAGUCCGACGGUACAGGGUGAUAGUCCCGUACACCAAAAUGCACAGGUUGUGAACUCGAAGAGUAGGGCGGGACACGUGGUAUCCUGUCUGAAUAUGGGGGGACCAUCCUCCAAGGCUAAAUACUCCUGACUGACCGAUAGUGAACCAGUACCGUGAGGGAAAGGCGAAAAGAACCCCGGCGAGGGGAGUGAAAAAGAACCUGAAACCGUGUACGUACAAGCAGUGGGAGCACCUUCGGGUGUGACUGCGUACCUUUUGUAUAAUGGGUCAGCGACUUAUAUUCUGUAGCAAGGUUAACCGUAUAGGGGAGCCGCAGGGAAACCGAGUCUUAACUGGGCGUUAAGUUGCAGGGUAUAGACCCGAAACCCGGUGAUCUAGCCAUGGGCAGGUUGAAGGUUGGGUAACACUAACUGGAGGACCGAACCGACUAAUGUUGAAAAAUUAGCGGAUGACUUGUGGCUGGGGGUGAAAGGCCAAUCAAACCGGGAGAUAGCUGGUUCUCCCCGAAAGCUAUUUAGGUAGCGCCUCGUGAACUCAUCUUCGGGGUAGAGCACUGUUUCGGCUAGGGGGUCAUCCCGACUUACCAACCCGAUGCAAACUACGAAUACCGAAGAAUGUUAUCACGGGAGACACACGGCGGGUGCUAACGUCCGUCGUGAAGAGGGAAACAACCCAGACCGCCAGCUAAGGUCCCAAAGUCAUGGUUAAGUGGGAAACGAUGUGGGAAGGCACAGACAGCCAGGAUGUUGGCUUAGAAGCAGCCAUCAUUUAAAGAAAGCGUAAUAGCUCACUGGUCGAGUCGGCCUGCGCGGAAGAUGUAACGGGGCUAAACCAUGCACCGAAGCUGCGGCAGCGACACUAUGUGUUGUUGGGUAGGGGAGCGUUCUGUAAGCCUGCGAAGGUGUGCUGUGAGGCAUGCUGGAGGUAUCAGAAGUGCGAAUGCUGACAUAAGUAACGAUAAAGCGGGUGAAAAGCCCGCUCGCCGGAAGACCAAGGGUUCCUGUCCAACGUUAAUCGGGGCAGGGUGAGUCGACCCCUAAGGCGAGGCCGAAAGGCGUAGUCGAUGGGAAACAGGUUAAUAUUCCUGUACUUGGUGUUACUGCGAAGGGGGACGGAGAAGGCUAUGUUAGCCGGGCGACGGUUGUCCCGGUUUAAGCAUGUAGGCUGAUUGUCCAGGCAAAUCCGGAUAAUCAAGGCUGAGGUGUGAUGACGAGGCACUACGGUGCUGAAGUAACAAAUGCCCUGCUUCCAGGAAAAGCCUCUAAGCAUCAGGUAACAUCAAAUCGUACCCCAAACCGACACAGGUGGUCAGGUAGAGAAUACCAAGGCGCUUGAGAGAACUCGGGUGAAGGAACUAGGCAAAAUGGUGCCGUAACUUCGGGAGAAGGCACGCUGGUGUGUAGGUGAAGCCCCUGCGGGUGGAGCUGAGACCAGUCGAAGAUACCAGCUGGCUGCAACUGUUUAUUAAAAACACAGCACUGUGCAAACACGAAAGUGGACGUAUACGGUGUGACGCCUGCCCGGUGCCGGAAGGUUAAUUGAUGGGGUUAUCCGUAAGGAGAAGCUCUUGAUCGAAGCCCCGGUAAACGGCGGCCGUAACUAUAACGGUCCUAAGGUAGCGAAAUUCCUUGUCGGGUAAGUUCCGACCUGCACGAAUGGCGUAAUGAUGGCCAGGCUGUCUCCACCCGAGACUCAGUGAAAUUGAACUCGCUGUGAAGAUGCAGUGUACCCGCGGCAAGACGGAAAGACCCCGUGAACCUUUACUAUAGCUUGACACUGAACAUUGAGCCUUGAUGUGUAGGAUAGGUGGGAGGCUUUGAAGCGUGGACGCCAGUCUGCGUGGAGCCAACCUUGAAAUACCACCCUUUAAUGUUUGAUGUUCUAACGUUGGCCCCUGACCGGGGUUGCGGACAGUGUCUGGUGGGUAGUUUGACUGGGGCGGUCUCCUCCCAAAGCGUAACGGAGGAGCACGAAGGUUAGCUAAUCCUGGUCGGACAUCAGGAGGUUAGUGCAAUGGCAUAAGCUAGCUUGACUGCGAGCGUGACGGCGCGAGCAGGUGCGAAAGCAGGUCAUAGUGAUCCGGUGGUUCUGAAUGGAAGGGCCAUCGCUCAACGGAUAAAAGGUACUCCGGGGAUAACAGGCUGAUACCGCCCAAGAGUUCAUAUCGACGGCGGUGUUUGGCACCUCGAUGUCGGCUCAUCACAUCCUGGGGCUGAAGUAGGUCCCAAGGGUAUGGCUGUUCGCCAUUUAAAGUGGUACGCGAGCUGGGUUUAGAACGUCGUGAGACAGUUCGGUCCCUAUCUGCCGUGGGCGCUGGAGAAUUGAGGGGGGCUGCUCCUAGUACGAGAGGACCGGAGUGGACGCAUCACUGGUGUUCGGGUUGUCAUGCCAAUGGCACUGCCCGGUAGCUAAAUGCGGAAGAGAUAAGUGCUGAAAGCAUCUAAGCACGAAACUUGCCCCGAGAUGAGUUCUCCCUGAGACUUUAAGUCUCCUGAAGGAACGUUGAAGACGACGACGUUGAUAGGCCGGGUGUGUAAGCGCAGCGAUGCGUUGAGCUAACCGGUACUAAUGAACCGUGAGGCUUAACCUUACAACGCCGAAG
rnacentral:rRNA from 1 species